GUCCACACUUGCCUAGGAGCUCCUUGAAAACAAAGACUAUGUCUAAAUUAUUCAUGCUGGCCCUUUGUAGGUGCCCAAUCAGUGUUUGGGGAAUGGAUGACUGACACACCAUCUACAUUAUGAAGCACAUUGUUACCUCCAGAGCGUCAAGAUACUCAAUUCAAUUUUGUAAGUGUUUAUUGAGCACCCACUAUGUGCCAGACACUGUUCUGGAAGUUUGGGAUAAACCAAUGAAUAAAAAUCACAAUGUUUCCUACCGUGGUGGAGCUCACAUUCCUAGCAGAGGGGAAAGAAAAUAAAAAAGAGACAUAAUAAUUUAAUUAUACAUUUAUUAGAGGUGAUUGAGUGCCAGAAAAAAAAAAAAGAAAGAAAAGGAACAGGCUAAGGAGAGAAGGAGUUUAUGGUGGUUGAGGGCUAUAGGUUCUAAAUAGGGAAUUCAGGGUAGGCCUUAUUGGAAAGGUGACAUAAGGUCAGCCUUGAAAAGGUGAAAGAGUGGCUGGGCACAGUGGCUCAUGUCUGUAAUCACAGCACUUUGGGAGGCCGAGGUAGGUGGAUCACCUGAGGUCAGGAGUUUGUGACCAGCCUGGCCAACGUGAUGAAACCUUAUGUCUACUAAAAAUACAAAAAUUAGCUGGGUGUGGUGGCACACACCUGUAGUCCCAGCUACUCAGGAAGCUGAGGCAGGAGAAUUGCUUGAACCCAGGAGGCAGAGGUUGCAGUGAGCCAAGAUUGCACCACUGCACUCCAGCCUGGACAACAGAGUGAGACUCUGUCACAAAAAAGAAAAGAAAAGGUGAAGGAGUUUGCCAAGCCAAUGGAGUGAGACUCUGUCUCAAAGAAGAAAGAAAGAAAAGAAAAGAAAAGAAAAAAAAGAAAGAAAAGAAAAGAAAAGAAAAAGAAAAGGUGAAGGAGUUUGCCAAGCUGAUAAUGGAAGAAAGAGCUCCAAGUGAAAAAAAAACAGCCAGUGCAAAGAUUCCAAGCUGGAAUGUGCCUGGUGGAGGCCAGGGAGGUGGAGAGAAGUGUGCAACAAUGGGGGCAGUAGGAGAGGAAGACAGACAGGCAACAGGGUCAUAUGUGGUGGGGCUUUACUGUCAUUGUAAGGACAUUAGCUUUUGUUCUGAGUGAAUCGGGGAGUUAUUGUAGGGAUCCAGUGAGAUUAAAUACAGAUUUUAGCAAUGUGAUUUCACUGAAAUUUACUUUGGAUUGGUGUAUGUAUGGAGCGGUCAGUAAUAUGAUAUAUGUGAUUUUGGGAGGAGGUCUGAUUUUUUAAGAAAAAAAUCCCACCAACUACAACUGAUAAUUUUAUUAAAAUAAUUCCUUUUCCCCAUGAUCACAAAUGAUCACAUCUUUAUCAAUGUCAACUGUUUUCAGCUGCCUGACUUAUUUUCCCUUUAUUUAUACUGGAUUUCUUUCCAUUAUAAGGUUUCAUUUGAACAGUCAAUCAACUGCUUGAGAAAUAGACUCACUGCUAUAACAUUACCCAUUCAUUUAAAACUUGAAUUUUCACUCCAUUGAGAGAUCCUAAGACUGUAGCUGUGUGCUAGUUACUAUGCUGGAUAGCCACUGAGGUGAACAAGACCCUGUCAUCACUGCUAAGGAGUUCAUGCUCAAUAUAUAAACUAUUUAUCAUCAAUGCAACAAGACAAAUGCUGUGUGAGAGAGGUCGGUACUUGGCAGCUUGGAGGUCUUAUGGGGCACAGUUAACCCUGUGCAUGUUAGGAAAGUGACCUCUUGUGCAACACCUCUCAUCAUCUCAGCACACCUUUUACUCCAGCUAUUGCCAUGGCAACAAGCUUCACACAAGUGCAAACUGACAGCACCGUGCAUCUCUCCCUUUCUGCAUCAGGGCUCCUCAGGCUCAAGCACAACCUGGAAAAACGAAGGUGUUAAUGUUCCAUGAGGCAACUGAUGACCAAUGGGGAGCAGGAGCUGGUGAAUGAAUGUUCCCUUCAUCCAUCCUGCAGCUUCUACAUUGUUCUUCAUCUCUGGGAAAUCAGUGACCCAUGGACUGGACAAUAACUUUGAGCCAUGCAGUCAAAAUAAAAUGGAAUAUUUAAGUGAAAGAUCAGGUUCUGGAAAAUAAAACUGCUCGUAGCUGCAUAUUAUCUACCGAACUUAGGUGGAUUCUCAGAAAGAAAAAGGUGAUGUUCACUGGCAUGAACAGUGAAUGGUGGAGUGGAACGUGAACAGGCUGGAGCUCUGGCUGUGCCAUUUAUUAGCCAUGUGCCUUUAGAAGGUCCUCAUCUUCUCCAGCCUCAGUUUCACCAUCUGUAAUGGAGUAUCCAUGACCCAGAGAGAGUAUCAGUGUCAAGAAUCUGCCAGUGAGAAAGUGAUUUGAAGCAGCUCUGGAGUUCAGAUGGCCACGGGUGCAAGUGCCUGCUCUGGUGUGCUUUGCCUCUGGAAAGAUGCCAAGUCUUUGAGAAUCUUUGCUGCAUCAGCCAUGCUACAUCCUGAGGACUUGGAGGUGAGGAAAUCCUGUGUGCACUUGUUUCCUUCCCUUCAAAUGAUAUAUCCCAGAAAAAUGGCAAGCUCUCUGCUUACUAACUCUUUUCUUUUUCUUUAGUUCCCCCUUAGCUUUCUCUCUCCUUUCUUCCGUCUUUCUCUUGCCUCCUUUCAUUUUUGGUAAAAUCCAAAGCGAAAUGUCAACUCAGAGGACAUAGCUGUUUGUCUUCACCACCUACAAACUGUAUUUCCUGGAUCAAGCCGCUUAACUCCAUUGAACUGUUUUUAGCAUCCUGAAAAUGGGGAAUCACACUUUCCACUUAUCCAAGCAUUUGCUCAUUCGUUUAUUAAUAAUGUAACACCCUUGAAUGCCAGGCCCUGAACUGAAGAUAUGGUCCUGACCCACUGGGUAGUCACAGGAGAGUGGAGAAUAAUGCUUCAUUUGCUAUGUUGCUUCAAGAAUUACAUAAAAUAAGGCAGUUAAAAAUAUUUUGUGAACCAAAUAGUGCAUUAUGAAAAGAUAUUAACACUUCUUACUUUCUUAUAGCAAUUUCUAAAUGAUUUAAUUUCUGCCAUCAAAAUAUCCCCCUUGUGUUGAUCUAAACCAUCAGAUUGCAAGGUAAAGCCCUGAUGUAACUGAUGAGAUGAAGAACACUGUAUGGCCAUUAUUUUAGGUACGAUAAACAUUUGACUUCUCUUACAGAGACCUAAGGAAAAUGACUUAAAUAGGGUAGAAAUGUCUUUCUCAUGUAACAAGCCAUGCAUUAGCAGACCAGGGCUAGUGUGACAGUUCCUCCAUGGGUCACUGUGUGGUUCAUUAAGGUGUUGUCCUCCUUGGCAUGACCCACGAUGGCUGCCAGUGUAACAGCUGAAUGUCAACCAGCAAGACAGAGGUGAGGGGUGGGGAGGAGGGCAUGCCUCUUCCCUCUGAGAAAUUGCCCACCUACUUCUGUUUAUGUCCCAUGAGCCAAAAUUUAGAAUUAGGUGUCUCCACCUAGCUUCAGGGAGGCUUGGGAACUGAAGUCUUUAUCCUGGGCAUUCUAGCAUACCCUACAUCCAAUCUGUCAAAGUUGCAUUUAGAAUCCAGCCCCUUCUCACCACCUUUACUUCUUUCAUGGCGGUCCAAGCCACUUUCACUGGAUGACGGCAGUAGCCACCUAACUGGCUUCUCUGCUUCUUCUCUUGCCCUCCACUGAAAUCUUUGCUCAGCGCACGUUGAAUAAUGACUCUUUUAGGAUGUAAGCCAGAUUUUUCAACUCCUCUGCUCAAACCCCUGCAAUGGCUUGCUAGGCCCUGUGGGAUUAGGCCUUUGCUACCUGUCCCUUCCUUCCAUCCUCCCUCCUCCCUUGCUUACUCCACUCCAGCCACAUCUGCUCCCUUCCUGGCCUCAGGAAGGCAGACAUGCUGUUGGGUAGGGAUUUUCAUCGGUCGUUCCUUCAGCCUAAAAAUUGUCCAUUUCAGAUAUUCACAGGGCUCAUUCCCUCGCCUCCUUCAAAUCUUUCCUCAAAUGUCACCUUCUUAUAGAGGUCUAUCAUGACUUCUCUACUUAAAAUGGCAAGACCUGCUUCCCAACUUUUGGCACUCCUAAUCUGCCUUAUCUUAUUCUUUUUUUUUUUUUUUUUUUUUUCACAGCAGGGACAUUUUCUAAUAUAGGUUUAUACUUUACUUAUUUACUAUCUUUAGUGUGUGUGUGUGUGUGUGCCUCUUCCCUUGCUAGAAUGACAGCUCCCUGAAGGCAAGGAUUUUUUUUUCUUCCCUGAUGUAUCCCCAGUACCUAAAAGAGUGCCUGGUGUAUAAUAGAUAAUAAAUAUUUCUUGAAUAUAAGCUUGCAUGAAGAGAUGGAGCCGAAUCCAGUUCUGAUGACAUCAUUUGAGCUCUGGUUCCAUGUGCCUAAAGCAAGAAUUCUACACUUUUCAGUUCCAUGGGUCA
rnacentral:lncRNA from 10 species